rnacentral:lncRNA from 1 species
CUUGAUCCUCCUUGGGAAGGUUCCAACUUGAUUCCAGGAGAUGUUUUAUGGUCUGAUCCUUCAUUGAUUCCAGGCCUUUCUCCAAAUUAACAGAGAGGCAUUGGUCUUCUUUGGGGUCCUGAUUGUACUGAAGAGUUUUUGAAAAAGUACCAACUAAAGUUAAUCAUCAGAUCACAUGAAGGUCCAGAUGCUAGAGAGAAGAGAUCUGGCUUAGCUGGUAUGGACUUAGGAUAUACAAUAGAUCACGAUGUUGAAUCUGGAAAGCUUAUCACUAUCUUCAGUGCUCCAGACUAUCCACAGUUCCAGGUACUUCUCUGAUGUAAUCUGACACAGGAAGAUUGAUGCGGAUCAAAAUCUUUAUCUUGUUGUUGUUGUG